UUAGAGGCCGGGGGGGUGGCAUGGACCGGGGGGGGCCGGGGGGGUGGCGACCGUGGGGGGUUUCAGGGGGGGCCGGGGAGGCUGGAUGGGCGGUGGGGGCCCUGGCAAGAUGGACGGCCGAAGUGACUACCGCCACGAGCAUCGCGACCGCCCCUACUAGGAGCCCCCUGGGUGGGAGUCUGGAAUCCAGAAUCCUGGGAGUCAAGAAUCCCGGGACCCUGUGAGUCCAGAAUCCCGGGAGUCAAGAAAACCUGGGACCCUGUGAGUCCAGAAUCCUGGGACCCUGGGAGUCCAGAAUCCCAGGACCCUGGGAGUCCAGAAUCCCUGGGACCCUGUGAAUCCAGAAUCCCGGGAGUCAAGAAUCCUGGGACCCUGUGAGUCCAGAAUCCCGGGAGUCAAGGAUCCCGGGACCCUGAAUCCAGAAUCCCGGGAGUCCAGAAUCCCGGGACCCUGUGAAUCCAGAAUCCCGGGAGUCCAGAAUCCCGGGACCCUGUGAAUCCAGAAUCCUGGGAGUCCAGAAUCCCGGGACCCCUGGGUGUCGUGCGCUGCCCGUGGUGCUGCACCCCCUUGUCCCACUCCGGAUUCCGGAACCCUCGUCCACUCCGGACUCUGGAGGCAAGCGGCCGGGAAGUAGGGGGGGGAGGGUGGGGGGAGGGGACGCUAAGUGGGGGGGAGGGGUGGGGGGUUGUGUUGUUGACGAGGGUUGUCGAGCAGGCAGAGGCGGCUUGUGGGGGUUGGGUAGCUGCCGCCAUCGUGAGUCGUGGUGGUUGAGGAGGUUGGUGGUGGUGGCUUGAUCGUCAUCGUGGUUGUGGGGUUUUUUUUUUACGUGGGUUAUUCCGUUCGUGUGACUGUCGCGGGGGGUAAGGGGCCCAGGUCUGUGAAAGGGGGUUGUGGAGAUCAAUAAAGGGUCGAGUUUUAAGUUACCGUGA